ensembl:lncRNA
UACACAUGUACUGCUAUAAGGGAGCGAAAUAUUACGCCAGUGUUACAGAGGAGUAAACUGAGGCAUAGCGACUUUACACCACUUGCUUUAGGCAACACAGAUGGUUAAUGGGAAUGGAGGGAAUAUAAUUAGUAAUUCUGGAUUAUACUGAGCUAUUUAAAUCACAAGACUUUUUUCUCUCUGAGGUGCUUCUUAUUCAUUAGGACCUGGUUUGGAAAGAUUUAUAAGAAAAGCUGCAGACAGAAAUCUGUAAGGACUUUCAAAAGCACUGUUCAAGUCCAAGGGGAGUUUGGGUCCUAAAUCCCGAAGAGCACCUGGGUCUGAGACUUGUGCAGAGAUGAAGAACCUCAGGCCAUGUCUCCGCACUAGCACAGCGCUGAGUCCAGCUCAUCUUUAGGGGUGGAAACCUUGAAGCUUUUCAGACACAAUCAUUCUUCACAUCCCUCCUUGAUAAAAUUCUCAGCAGUCAGCACAGAUUUAAGAAGAAAAAAAAAAGACACUGCCUGUCCUGUUUCUCAACAUUUGGAAAGUUUUAAGGAGUACUGCAGGAAAUUGCAUGUGGAGAAAAGGAAACGGGGAAAGUUGAGCACCAGAGACUGCACUUUGUGAGUCCGGUCCACUUUUCCCCGUUGGCUUUGAUCGCUCACCAACACAUGGUGCUACCUCAGGGCACCUUCAGAGCUGCUGUGACCCUCACUGCUAUGCC